AGAGUUUAGAUCAUGGCUCAGGACGAACGCUGNGCGNGCGUGCCNUCAAUACAUGCAAGUCGAGUCGGACUCGAUGAGGANGCUUGCUUCUCUGAGAGUAUACGCGGCGAGACGGGUGAGUAACACGUAGGCANACCUGCCCUNCAGACGACUGGGCAUAACUACCGUGAAACGGUAGCUAAUACCUGGAUAAUUAAAUCUGCUGCACUGGCGGAGUUAUGAAAGGCGGAGCAUAUCAUGUCACUUGAGGAUGUGGCCUGCGGCGCAUUAGCUAGUUGGUGAGGUAACGGCUCACCCAGGCGACGAUGCGUAGCCGACUCUGAGAGGGUGAACGGCCACACUGGGACUGAGACACNGGCCCAGACUCCUACGGGAGGCAGCAGUAGGUGUAAUCUUCCGCAAUGGGCGAGAAGCCAUGACGGAGCAACGCCGCGUGAGUGAUGAAGGUUUUCGGAUCGUAAAGCUCUGUUGUCCAGGGAAGACACGUCUCAUAG
rnacentral:rRNA from 1 species